UUUAUUUGUCAGCUAAGUGGCGCACGGGUGAGUAAUGUAUAGGUAAUAUGCCUCUUACUAAGGGAUAACAAUUGGAAACGAUUGCUAAUACCUUAUAUGCCUUUAAGACUUAAGUCUGCAAGGGAAAGAUUUAUUGGUAAGAGAUUAGCCUGUAUUGUAUCAGUUAGUUGGUGGGGUAAUGGCCUACCAAGACAAUGACGCAUAACUGGUUUGAGAGGAUGAUCAGUCACACUGGAACUGAGACACGGUCCAGACUCCUACGGGAGGCAGCAGUGGGGAAUAUUGCACAAUGGGGGAAACCCUGAUGCAGCAACGCCGCGUGGAGGAUGACACAUUUCGGUGCGUAAACUCCUUUUAUAUAGGAAGAUAAUGACGGUACUAUAUGAAUAAGCACCGGCUAGCUCCGCGCCAGCAGCCGCGGUAAUACGGAGGGUGCAAGCGUUACUCGGAAUCACUGGGCGUAAAGAGCGUGUAGGCGGGUAUAUAAGUCAGAAGUGAAAUCCAAUAGCUCAACUAUUGAACUGCUUUUGAAACUGUAUACCUAGAAUGUGGGAGAGGUAGAUGGAAUUUC
rnacentral:rRNA from 1 species